rnacentral:rRNA from 1 species
AGAGUUUGAUCCUGGCUCAGGAUGAACGCUAGCUACAGGCUUAACACAUGCAAGUCGCAGGGUAACGUGAGGGAAGCUUGCUUCCCUUGACGACGACUGGCGCACGGGUGAGUAACGCGUAUCCAACCUUCCCAUGACCACGGGAUAACCCGUUGAAAGACGGACUAAUACCGUAUGACGUCGUUUGCUGACAUCAAAUAACGAUUAAAGGUUUAGCGGUGAUGGAUGGGGAUGCGUCUGAUUAGCUUGUUGGCGGGGUAACGGCCCACCAAGGCGACGAUCAGUAGGGGUUCUGAGAGGAAGGUCCCCCACAUUGGAACUGAGACACGGUCCAAACUCCUACGGGAGGCAGCAGUGAGGAAUAUUGGUCAAUGGGCGAGAGCCUGAACCAGCCAAGUAGCGUGCAGGAUGACGGCCCUAUGGGUUGUAAACUGCUUUUAUAAGGGAAUAAAGUGAGUCUCGUGAGACUUUUUGCAUGUACCUUAUGAAUAAGGACCGGCUAAUUCCGUGCCAGCAGCCGCGGUAAUACGGAAGGUCCGGGCGUUAUCCGGAUUUAUUGGGUUUAAAGGGAGCGUAGGCCGCCAGGUAAGCGUGUUGUGAAAUGUACCGGCUCAACCGGUGAAUUGCAGCGCGAACUGUCUGGCUUGAGUGCACGGUAAGCAGGCGGAAUUCAUGGUGUAGCGGUGAAAUGCUUAGAUAUCAUGAAGAACUCCGAUUGCGAAGGCAGCUUGCUGCAGUGCGACUGACGCUGAUGCUCGAAGGUGCGGGUAUCAAACAGGAUUAGAUACCCUGGUAGUCCGCACGGUAAACGAUGGAUGCCCGCUGUCCGCCCUUUUGUGGCGGGUGGCCAAGCGAAAGCGUUAAGCAUCCCACCUGGGGAGUACGCCGGCAACGGUGAAACUCAAAGGAAUUGACGGGGGCCCG